CGUAGAGUUUGUAUCCUGGCGUCAGGAUGAACGCUAGCUACAGGCUUAACACAUGCAAGUACGAGGGGAAACGGAUGAGAGAGCUUGCUCUCUUAGGCGUCGACCGGCGCACGGGUGAGUAACGACGUAUCCAACCUGCCCAUUACAGGGGAAUAACCUUAGCGAAAGUAAGACUAAUGCCCCAUGGUAUUCUCAGCAGACAUCUAAUGAGGAUUAAAGAUUUAUCGGUAAUGGAUGGGGAUGCGUCUGAUUAGCUUGUUGGCGGGGUAACGGCCCACCAAGGCAACGAUCAGUAGGGGUUCUGAGAGGAAGGUCCCCCACAUUGGAACUGAGACACGGUCCAAACUCCUACGGGAGGCAGCAGUGAGGAAUAUUGGUCAAUGGGCGAGAGCCUGAACCAGCCAAGUAGCGUGCAGGAAGACGGCCCUAUGGGUUGUAAACUGCUUUUAUAGGGGAAUAAAGUGGACUACGUGUAGUUUAUUGUAUGUACCCUAUGAAUAAGGACCGGCUAAUUCCGUG
rnacentral:rRNA from 1 species